AGAUUGAACGCUGGCGGCAUGCCUAACACAUGCAAGUCGAACGGGAGUAGCAAUACUCUAGUGGCGGACGGGUGAGGAAUACGUAGGAAUUUGCCCUUAAGUGGGGGAUAACCCGGGGAAACCCGGAUUAAUACCGCAUGACCUCGAAAGAGCAAAGUGGGGGAUCGCAAGACCUCACGCUUUUGGAGAAGCCUACGUCGGAUUAGCUAGUUGGUGAGGUAAUGGCUCACCAAGGCGACGAUCCGUAACUGGUCUGAGAGGAUGAUCAGUCACACCGGAACUGAGACACGGUCCGGACUCCGUACGGGAGGCAGCAGGUGGGAAUAUUGGACAAGUGGGCGCAAGCCUGAUCCGAGCAAUGCCGCGUGUGUGAAGAGGUCCUUCGGUUAGUAAGCGUAACUUUAAGGUUAGGG
rnacentral:rRNA from 1 species